UACGGAGGGGGCUAGCGUUGUUCGGAAUUACUGGGCGUAAAGCGCACGUAGGCGGCGAUCUAAGUCAGAGGUGAAAGCCCGGGGCUCAACCCCGGAAUAGCCUUUGAGACUGGAUUGCUAGAAUCCGGGAGAGGUGAGUGGAAUUCCGAGUGUAGAGGUGAAAUUCGUAGAUAUCAGGAGGAACACCGGUGGCGAAGGCGGCUUCCUGGACCGAUACUGACGCUGAGGCGCGAAAGCCAGGGGAGCAAACGGGAUUAGAAACCCGUGUAGU
rnacentral:rRNA from 1 species